UACGUAGGGUGCAAGCGUUGUCCGGAAUUAUUGGGCGUAAAGAGCUCGUAGGCGGUUUGUCGCGUCGGCUGUGAAAACCUGGGGCUCAACCCCGGGCCUGCAGUCGAUACGGGCAGACUAGAGUGCGGUAGGGGAGACUGGAAUUCCUGGUGUAGCGGUGAAAUGCGCAGAUAUCAGGAGGAACACCGGUGGCGAAGGCGGGUCUCUGGGCCUAACUGACGCUGAGGCACGAAAGCGUGGGGAGCAAACAGG
rnacentral:rRNA from 1 species